rnacentral:rRNA from 1 species
UUCCUUAUGUUUAUAUAUAAGGUAAUUUCUGCCCAAUGAUUAGUAUUAUUUAAAUGGCUGCAGUAUAUUGACUGUACAAAGGUAGCAUAAUAAUUAGUUUUUUGAUUGGAAACUUGAAUGAAUGGAUAAAUGAAAGAUUUACUUUAUUGAUUUUAUUAUUAAAAUUUUAUUUCUUAGUUAAAAGGCUAAGUUUUUUUUUAGGGACGAUAAGACCCUAUAGAACUUUAAAUUUAGUUUAAUUGGUUUUAAUUUAGAUUAAUUUUAUUUAUUUAAUAUAAUUUUUUAAUUGGGGUGAUUGGAAAAAAUUUGUCUUUUUUUAUUUAAUUCAUUUAUUUAUGUAAGUUUUGAUCCUAUAUUUAGAUUAAAAGAUAAGUUACCUUAGGGAUAACAGCGUAAUUUUAAUGGGGAGUUCAUAUUUAAAUUAGAGUUUGCGACCUCGAUGUUGAAUUAAGAUAAUUCUGUGGUGUAGAAGUUAUAGAUUUAAGUCUGUUCGACUUUAAAUUCUUACA